rnacentral:lncRNA from 1 species
CGAGCGGUCCUCUUCUCCUCCUUCACCAACCACCGGAGGAACCACCUCCACCGCAGCGCCACCACCAACCAAAUCCAAGGAACCGCACUCCUGAGCAACGAAACUCGCAUUCUCUUCUCCUCCUCCACCUCCCUCCGCGGCCAGGUCUGCGGAAACGGCAUCAACGACACCACUCAUCUCAGCGACGGGAUUCAAAACCGCAGCGGCGGUGUCAACCGCAUCAAUUCCUUUCGCACCCGUAGCUCCAUCGCACCCGCCGCCUUCCUCGGCGGCAACGGAAGAUUCGCCGCACGGUCCUGUGAGAAUAGGGUCGUUCGAAACGUGAAUACAUUCAGGGUCAUCACGCAUCGACUCAAAGGAAGCUUUCGCCGAGUCGGAAUCCAUAAAGCGAUAAAUAGGGAUCAGCUUCGCCGGCUACAACAGUGGUCCAUAAAUUCACAAAUUGAGAAGAGGAAAAGAUCUGAAAGCCUUUUUAGGGUUUUCUAGAGCGAUGAUUUUGUUUUUUUUUUUUUUUUUACAGGAACAUUGUCAGGUGUAGCAACCACAUUAGAUACAUCUUAUAUACACUAAUUUCUAGGUUGUGCGAACACUUUUUUGAGGUCGGUUGGUUAAGAACUUUAGACGAUGUGGUGGGAGUCUUCAACGUCUCAGGUUCGAUCUCUUUCUUGAAUUCAUUUGCUCUUCCGCGAGAUUGAUUACCAUUACAUUUUUUUGUUUUCAGUUGACAUUAAUAUUAAAGCCCAAUGGGCUAUGGGCUAGAACAAAAUAAUGGACGUAGUUUAAUAAUGAGCAAUUCUCUCUAGUCCAUUUUAAAUCCCUUAUAUAUUAAUUGAGGAACAUUUGAAAAGAUGUAACCUCAAUUUUAUAUUAAUUAAAAGAGGCCCCAAUGCAUAGGUGGCACUCAAUUAGGUAGUCAAUUACAUUCAAUUGAAAAAUAAGUAGGUCCACAUUCGAUUUUUAUAUGUUGUUAGAUACAUAAGUUGGUCAAACUAUAUGAUAUAAUGAUAUGAUAUGAUAUUUUCUUUCCUUAAAUAAAACCUACGGAAUUACCAUAAAUGACUAAUAUAUAUAUGACAAUUAAUGAGUUUAAUAAUAAAGAUUUGAUAACAAUGUAUAUCUCCUCCAUCAUUUUUUGUUUAAUUUUAUAUUAUUAAAAUAAAUUAAACAAUCAAAUUAGCUAUAAAAAUAAAAUUUAGAUUUUUUCGUAUAUGUUAUAUUUUGAAUUUUUAAAAACGACAAUAAAUGACUAAAACUAUUAAAAUUAUUAUGUUAAAAAUUAAUGAUCAAUAGUUUAACAUUUUUAUUAUAAGAAGAUACACAUGAUUUUAAAACCAUAUGAGCAAAAAAUAUCAUUUAAUAAUAAAAUAAAUAUAUAUAUAUAACACUUCUGUUUUGUCCAAGUUCAAUAUCUCAAGUACAUAGUCUGUUGUUUUUUUGCCAACUUUAUAGGGUUCAGGAGCUUUGCUUGUGCCUGUGUUUCAAACCAAAAGAGAUUAGAGUCAACCUUUGAAUUAACCAUAUAUUAAAAUAAUCUGUAAAAUGGAAACUAAACAUACCAACAACUUGAACCAGUCGAUAUAAAUCUUGCUUUUGAUUUCCAGAUAUCCUUAACCUAACAAAUGCACUCGCUACUUUUUCUUCGAACGCUGUAGAAUCUUCAAGUAGAUCUUCCACCAAGCUCCGCCUCAAGUAUAUCAAAUUAAUGUUGUGCAUAUCAACAGCAGCAAAAUCAUCAAGAUUGGAUUGACGCCCUUUCCUUGCACCCUUUUUACGUGUUUUACGUUUCUUAUCCUUCCCACUUUUCACUGGAUGGUCCACGUUUUCAUCAAGAUCCACAUAGUCAGGGUCUGUAUCAACAAUGCUACCUUGAAUAUUAUCUGCCUGCUGCUGCUCUUUAUCAAGGAAAUGGGUAUCAAGGAUAUUUAACAUCUCAAAGUGCCCAACAUGAGAUUUCCCGAACAAAUUUUUAAGCCUGGAGUCACAAACAACUUGGCUUUUACGACGGGGAUCACGAAGAUUGUAUUUUUUUAUAUAAUCCAGCAGGAGCGCAUGUACUUCUGUGGAAGGUAAGAAAGAUCUGUCACCACGUCUCAUGUGAGCGACAACAUCCAAAAGUUCCUUGGAAGCCCACGUUUCACCUGACGAGCUUUUAUUAGCUGGAGAUUGGUUUUUCUCCGCAGAACCAGGCUUCGAUCGACUUCUGGUCUUCCUCUUUUUUGGAGAACUAUCCGAAUCUGAUCCUUCAUCAGUUACAUAGUCAAUCUCCCUGGCUGUUCCCUGUUUACCAGCAUGAGACUUAUUUCCUUUCUGUGGGCUCUUAGCCUGAUCAAGUUCCUCUGGACUUAUAGAUAGCUGCGUUUUCAAAUCAAUCCAGUAAUCCUUGAAGAGAGAUUCCCAGCUGGUCUUGUCAUCAAAAUCCAACUGCGCCUAUAAAAGACAAAACGGAUUCAGUGAGAGGUAUCAGAAAAAGAAGACUGACAUUCAAAUUGAUAGUGGAAACUAAGGUAUAAACGAAAAUCAACUAUUCGGUGUGGAACAACGAUGACCAAAUUCAUAGUGUAUUAGUCAUAUUUCAAAGUAAAAAGACAGAGACGUAUGCUUAUAAUGCAUCAACCAAGUUGAAAGCUCAUAAACACGUGCAUAAUGCAAUAGAGCAAUUCUCCAGGAGAAAACAGAAUCAGUAAGUAUCAUUAAGCUUUCUAUGCUAAGUCCACAAAAUGUUUGAUGAGAGAAACGGUAAAAGCAAGCUCAUGCGGUACUUCACCAUGAUGAUCAGUUCUAUCAACAGAAAAUCACAAGAAGAAAAAAAUCAACAAGAAAGAAAAACUAAAAGUGUAAUCAAGCAUACCGGCUCCUUCUUUUCCUGCUCCUCUCUUUCUAGCAACUUGAUUGUCUCCAUGCACGUUUCACACAAACCCUUAUUGCCUCUUAUGCAAAAAAAGACAGCAUCCUUGGCGCAGCCCUUGCAUAAUGAAAACACACAUGUGUAACACAAGUAUGUCGCAGUUUUCUCACAUUUGCUACACUGGUGCCAUCCUAUUCAUGAAAAUGUAACAUUGUGUUAGGUUCUAGUAUAGACAUAGAAAUGGACCUUCAAAGAUUAAGCUUACUAAAUACAUACAUAUACAGAGAGGGGUAACAAACGAAAGUAUGACAAAUGACCACUCAAACAUUAUACUAUCUUGAAAGUGUAUGUGAUGUGUUCUAAUAUAUGAGGGAGCAUACUAAGAUACGGCACAGUGUUCUUUAGGCUCUUACAUCACAUUAGUGUCUGUUAUUUAUUAUCAUAUGUACCAAAAGUGAUUGUGAACCCAUUGCUAAAGACACGAAUCAUCAACAAAUCGGUACAAAGGGAAAAUAGCUUAGAGAGAACAAUUAGUCGAUGCCUAACAGAAAUGAAAAAUCAAUAUCUUUCUCGUUAUAUCAAAAGGUUCUCCUAACAAGUUUAAAUGGAUAGAAUUAUAGUGACGAUGUCACCACUACCAAAGUAUAUAAAAGCAUCAAUGCUAGUGUAUUUUCAAAAAAUAAUUACUUAAUAAACGACACAAGAGAUCCCACUGCUGCUACCGUUGACAACAGAGAAUCAACUAAAAGCCACCGUUGACAAGUUCUUGGGGAAUUUCAAAGACUACACAGCCUUGAUAGCAAUCAGACAUCCAUUUCACAAACAAAUUGCAUUUGCCUGUGAAGCAUUUGACAGUGGUACAAAAGGCUUGAGACUAAAGAGAGAUUCAAUAAGGAAAGACAUGAAAUGAAAUACGAUGUGCAAAACAAAAGCAAUAGAAAAUAACUUUCAACUAAAAUUUCAACCUUAGAAUCUGAGAGGAGUAAAGGAAAAAAAGAUUUAGGAUAAAUGCAUACUAUUAGCCAGGAACUCAAACGAAAGAAGAAAGAAAAAUCUUGAAUUACCAAGAAAUUGCAAUAAAAAUCAUAAUCAGAAUGACAGAUAAAAAACAUAUACCAUUAUGAUUUCUAAAAAAGUAACAAUGUUAAAGACACUGUAUAUAACUAAGGUAAACAAUAUACAUACACCACUCAGAGAAAUUUUAGCAGAUUAUGCAUCAUGUUUUCCUGAACUAUAUUCACUGAUUAAAUAGAGAAAAACUUACCACAGUUCCAUUUACCCUUUGACCGGAAAAAAUCCUCGUCUUGAUUUACACAGGAAGGGUGGUAAGCUUUUGGGCAGCCCCUGCAAGCCAACAUAAUCGUACAUUUAAAUACAACAAAAGUUAUCAUCUGUUAAAGGGACCAGAAGAAAGAAGGAGAAAAGAGCACAUGAACUACAAAUGUAAGUUUACCUGCGGUCACAAAGGACAAGGUCACCCCCAUCAAAGCAUAUGAAACAAACAUCUUCCUCUUUUUUCUUUCCUGUCUUUGUAUUUCUCACUCGCUUCCUCUUUCCUCCAACACCCUUAUUUUCUUCCUCGACGUCCUCUGCAUCUUCAUCCCCCGUCUCAGCCGUUACACUCUCAUCCUGUGUCGCUGUUAGUUCUGUCAUUUCUAUCUCUUCCUGACUUUCCUUCCCCUCCUCUAUAUCAGCUAAUGAGGAGUCUACAUGCGUUUCCGCAUCAGUCAUGUUUUCAUCUUUCUCCUCAUCCUCAUCUUCGGUCCUUGCCUCUGUUUCUUCUGACAUUUCAGAAGCUUUUGUUCCGUCUACUUUACCCUCAACAGUCUCCUCUUGUGUCUCUGUCAUUUCUGCCAUUCCCAUCUCCUCCUGUCUUUUCUUCUCCUCCUCAGUAUCAGCUACCGAUGAGUCUCCAAGAGUUUUCACAUCCAUCAUGUUUUCAUCUUUCUCCUGAUCCACAUCUACGGACCUUGUCUCUGUUUCUUCUGAUGCUUCAGCAACUUUUGUUCUGACUGCUUUACCCUCAACAGUCUCCUCAUGUGUCUCUGUCAUUUCUGCUAAUCCCAUCUCUUCCUGAAUUUCCUUCCCCUCCUCAAUAUCAGCCACCAAGGAGUUUGCAUGCGUUUUCACAUCAGCCAUGUCAUCAUCCUUUUCCUGAUCCUCAUCUUCGAUCCUUGUCUCUGUUUCUUCUGACACUUCAUCAAUUUUUGCUCCCUCCACUUUAUCCGUAACAGUCUCCUCCAGUGCUUCUGUCACUCCCAUCUCUUCAAUAUCAGCUAUCGAGGAGUCUCCAUGGAUUUUCACAUCUUCCGCCAUAUCAGUCAUGUCAUCCAUUUUCUCCUCAUCCUCAUGUCUGAUCACUGUCCCUGUUUCUUCGGAUGCUUCAGCAAUCUUUGUUUCGUCUACUUUAGCCAGUUCCUCAGAUAGUUUUUGGGUUUCCUCCAAAUCAACACUCUGUUCUGCUUCACCUACACCAGCCAUUCCUUCGCCUUCUUCCUCUAUCCCAUCACCAUAUUUAACAUAUGUUUCCACUUCUUCUCCAGACUCUGGUACAUGCAUGUCCACUGAUUUACCAGCUUCUGGAUCCUUCUCAACAUCUUCUUUGACAUCAUCCAUAACAGUUUCCUUAUCUACAGACGAUUCACCCACUCGAGUCUCAUUUUUUUCUGAACCCUCAUUAGCCACAUCAUCCACAUCUUGGGGCUUAUUUUUGAUCUCCAACACAGGCUUUUCUUCCUCCUCAGUUUUCUUCAAUAACUGAUUACCCAUAGCACCUUCUGCGACAUCCAUGUCUUCUUUUGCAUCUCCAUCCGUCAGAUCUCUAACUUCUUCACCAAUUUGCAACUCUUUUAAUGGCACUUGCUCUAAAGGAACUGAAUCAACACUAGCCACGCUAGCUACAUCCUUAUCCUGGGAUGAAAUUUCAGUAAAACCAGCCACGCUAGCUACAUCUUUAGCAUCGGGAAUAUCUAUGUCAACACUAACUAUAUCUUCCAAGGAGGCAGCUUGAGCUGCAGUGUCCUCCUCCAUGACAUCAAGCUUACUCUCUAUCGCCUGACUACUCUUCUCAUCGGCCAUACGUCCACAAACUACCUCUUGGCUUCCCUCUCUCAGAGAAUCAUCUCCGUUUACCUCAGAAGCUGAAGGCUCUUCUUCUUUGCUUUCCUCGAGAUUGUCUCCUGAAAUCGAAACCUUUUCACAACCUAACCCUAACAAAUUAGCUGCUGAGUCACUCUGCUCAGCCGAGCGGUCCUCUUCUCCUCCUUCACCAACCACCGGAGGAACCACCUCCACCGCAGCGCCACCACCAACCAAAUCCAAGGAACCGCACUCCUGAGCAACGAAACUCGCAUUCUCUUCUCCUCCUCCACCUCCCUCCGCGGCCAGGUCUGCGGAAACGGCAUCAACGACACCACUCAUCUCAGCGACGGGAUUCAAAACCGCAGCGGCGGUGUCAACCGCAUCAAUUCCUUUCGCACCCGUAGCUCCAUCGCACCCGCCGCCUUCCUCGGCGGCAACGGAAGAUUCGCCGC